UGGGGAAUAUUGCACAAUGGAGGGAACUCUGAUGCAGCGACGCCGCGUGAACGAAGAAGGCUUUCGAGUCGUAAAGUUCUUUUAUAUGGGAAGAUAAUGACGGUACCAUAAGAAAAAGCCCCGGCUAACUACGUGCCAGCAGCCGCGGUAAUACGUAGGGGGCUAGCGUUGUCCGGAAUCACUGGGCGUAAAGGGUUCGCAGGCGGAAAUGCAAGUCAGGUGUAAAAGGCAGUAGCUUAACUACUGUAAGCAUUUGAAACUGCAUAUCUUGAGAAGAGUAGAGGUAAGUGGAAUUUUUAGUGUAGCGGUGAAAUGCGUAGAUAUUAAAAAGAAUACCGGUGGCGAAGGCGACUUACUGGGCUCAUUCUGACUCUGAGGAACGAAAGCGUGGGUAGCAAACAGG
rnacentral:rRNA from 2 species